UGGAAGACUAGUGAUUUUGUUGUUCUGUAAAUGAACCGACAACAAGUCAUUGUCUUCCUUG
ensembl:miRNA gmo-mir-7a-2 gmo-mir-7a-2